CAUUAGCAAGCAUGAGCGCCGCCGGUAGCAACAUCAAUUGACCACCGCCUUUCCACAUCCCCUUUUUCUGACGCUGCGUUUCCCCUUCCUGCAACCAUCGAUGGACUUCCUGAACUGUGUCUAGAAUCUGAUUCGACCGCAUGGCAAGCCAUCCACACACUGACGUUGUGACAUGAGGAACCGAUAGGAGAUGGCCAUGCUACGCUUCGCUUGGUGGUUUAGUUUCAUUUGCCAUAUCCCCAAUUCAUGGAUCCGACUACCAUUCACAAUUUUUGUUUUCUUAUCCUGCAGGGUUGAUUGGAUGGGUUCAUUUGACUCUAGAUGAGACAAUCAGGUCACUUCGCAAUCCUGCAAAUACUUAACGAUUGGUUGGAGAAAGGCUGUUCGGGAUGGAGCUGAAAUACAUGAGAAGAACUAAGAGAUAAAACAGAAAAUGUAGAUGCGGGAACAAGAACAGCGUGCCCAGGAUGGCUAUACACAAGUCGACUUCAAGAAAAUGUGAAGGGCUAAGAAUGAGAUCAAACUGUCACGUAAGUGUCACGUCAACACCACGUAGGACGAAGGCUUAAUCAAAAGAUCCACAUAAGCGUCACGUCAGCCAAAAAAACGGAGUCAAUAACAUCGAGGGACCUCGUUUCCACUGGUUUUAUAAGUUGGGAAUGCAAUGUAUCCGGUUUUCUAGACUGAGGAUGAAAAUCGGACUAGACGAUAAAUUGAGGGAUCUAAGGUGAACUUAUUCCUACCGGAAAACGCAGGAGGAAGGCCUUCGGGCUACUAGCCGGGUGAAAGGGAAGGAUUGAACCGUGUGAUUUUGUGACCUUUCGGUAGUUUUCUCUGUUAAUUCUGAUUAUUCACUGAUACACAACGUACUAAUAUAUAUCAAGGUAUCUGUGUGGAUAA